UCAUUACUGAUUUGCUUAAUUGCACCACAUGUGUUUUUUAUUGAACAAAUUUCUUUGGUGGCGGGAGCAAUCCUACUCGCCAGAGGUUCAUAACUAAACCAAACUUUUUAUUUACAGUCAAACUUGCAUUUAUUAUUACCAAUAGUCAAAACUUACAACAUGCGGAUCUCUUGGUUCUCGCAUCGAUGAAGAACCGCAGCGAAAUGCGAUACGUAAUAUGAAUUGCAGAUAUUCGUGAAUCAUCGAAUCUUUGAACGCACAUUGCGCCCUUUGGUAUUCCAAAGGGCAUGCCUGUUUGAGCGUCAUUUCUCCCUCAAACCCCCGGGUUUGGUGUUGCAGCAAUACGCUAGGUUUGUUUGAAAGAAUUUAACGUGGAAACUUAUUUUAAGCGACUUAGGUUUAUCCAAAAACGCUUAUUUUGCUAGUGGCCACCACAAUUUAUUUCAUAACUUUGACCUCAAAUCAGGUAGGACUACCCGCUGAA
rnacentral:rRNA from 1 species